rnacentral:tRNA from 1 species
GCGGAAGUAGUUCAGUGGUAGAAUACAACCUUGCCAAGGUUGGGGUCGCGGGUUCGAAUCCCGUCUUCCGCUCUA